rnacentral:rRNA from 1 species
GACGAACGCUGGCGGCGUGCCUAAUACAUGCAAGUCGAACGCAGUGGGGACGGGUGAGUAACACGUUGGUAACCUCCCCAUCAGAGGGGAUAACCCUUGGAACCAGGUGCUAAACCGAUACUGAUGGUUGGACCCGCGGUGCAGUAGCUAGUUGGUGAGUUAACGGCUCACCAAGGCCACGAUGCAUAGCCGACCUGAGAGGGUGAUCGGCCACACUGGGACUGAGACACGGCCCAGAAUCCGACGGGAGGCAGCAGUAGGGAAUCUUGGGCAAUGGACGAAAGUCUGACCGAGCAACGCCGCGUGAGUGAAGAAGGUUUUCGGAUCGUAAAACUCUGUUGGUAGAGAAGCGGUAUCUAAAGAGAAAGCCACGGCUAACUACGUGCCAGCAGCCGCGGUAAUAC